rnacentral:rRNA from 1 species
AUUGGCUUUUAAAUAAGGUCUAGAAUGAAUGAAUAAAUGGGUGAAUACUAUCCUAGUAAAGUUUAUUUUAAGUUUCUUAAAAGGUGAAAAUUCCUUUAAGAGUUUAAUAGACGAGAAGACCCUGGGAGUUUAUUAGAAUGAAAUAAACAUUCUAUUUUUGUUGGGGCGACAGUUUAACAAAUAACUUAAAUUUAAAUAGAACUUUUCAACAAAAUUUAAAAUUUAAAAUAAGCUACCCCAGGGAUAACAGCAUAAUUUUUUAAAAAGUUUGUGACCUCGAUGU